rnacentral:rRNA from 1 species
UACGGAGGGUGCGAGCGUUGUCCGGAAUCACUGGGCGUAAAGGGCGCGUAGGUGGCAGGGAAAGUCGGCGGUGAAAGCCCGGGGCUCAACUCCGGGUCGGCCGUUGAUACUUCUUUGCUCGAGCACUGUAGAGGCAGAUGGAAUUCCGGGUGUAGCGGUGGAAUGCGUAGAGAUCCGGAAGAACACCGGUGGCGAAGGCGGUCUGCUGGGCAGUUGCUGACGCUGAUGCGCGACAGCGUGGGGAGCAAACAGG